GACGAACGCUGGCGGCGUGCCUAAUACAUGCAAGUCGAGCGGACCUCUUCGGAGGUCAGCGGCGGACGGGUGAGUAACACGUGGGCAACCUGCCUGUAAGACUGGGAUAACACCGGGAAACCGGUGCUAAUACCGGAUAAUCCUUCCCCUCACAUGAGGGGAAGCUGAAAGACGGUUUCGGCUGUCACUUACAGAUGGGCCCGCGGCGCAUUAGCUAGUUGGUGAGGUAAUGGCUCACCAAGGCGACGAUGCGUAGCCGACCUGAGAGGGUGAGCGGCCACACUGGGACUGAGACACGGCCCAGACUCCUACGGGAGGCAGCAGUAGGGAAUCUUCCGCAAUGGGCGAAAGUCUGACGGAGCAACGCCGCGUGAACGAUGAAGGCCUUCGGGUCGUAAAGUUCUGUUGUCAGGGAAGAACAAGUACCGGAGUAACUGCCGGUACCUUGACGGUACCUGACCAGAAAGCCACGGCUAACUACGUGCCAGCCGCCGCGGUAAAAC
rnacentral:rRNA from 1 species